UCAUAAAAGGAUAACUUUUAAAAAGUGGCUUGAUUUGUUUUUUUCUAAAGAAGUUUGCAUUUAUUAAUCAGGGGGAGACGGGGGAGUUGGAUGGGAUGGUUAUCGAAGGAAAUACAAUGCGAAUGCUUUUUGGGGUCUUUGGGUUUGGGUGAAUAAUUGCAGAGAAAACCCUAAAGCUUUUGACCUACUCUCUCUCAUUCAAACUGUCGUAUUCGAAGCAUGAUCUCUCAGAUCUGUUUGUUGAGUCUCUCAAAGGAAGGUGUGAUCUCUAUCUUCUCAUUUAAAGCAGCAGCAGUAUAGCAGGUGGUGGUGAUGUUGGGGGGCUGGUUUUAUUAAGUUUUCCCAAUUAAAGGGUUUCUAUAAUUUCCGGUUUUGUUUACAAAUGGGUUCUUUUUUCCUUUGUUUUGCAGGCAGUUUGUUUUAAAGCUAAUAAUGGUAAAGAUCGGGGAAAAAAAGUGAGUAAUUUAGAGAGGAAGGAGAGGUCUGACAGAAGAGAGUGAGCACACGCAGGCAGAUUGUAUGAAAGGCCAUACCUUUGCCCGCCGUGUGCUCACUUCUCUUCUGUCAGCUUAACAAUUCACUCUUUUCACUUGUUUUUCCUCUCCUUUCUAGAUUUGCUGGAAACUUUCUACACCUUCUCCUACAGAUCAUUGAGUUGAAAACAAUCCCAUAUGGGAUUUUAUAUGUGGACUUCUUGUUCUUUUCUCUUUAUUGACGAAGAGAUAAAAAGCACAGUAAGUGUGUGAUCAUGUUUAUUGUUAUUUUUGGUUAUGAUUUUGUCAAUUAUAUAUUAUUUUCCAUUUUUGCGGUGUUAAUUGAUUAUAUUUCCGCUACUCUUUUUGGGAAUAUCAUUUUCUAUUAUUAAAAUAACAUAAUGAUGUUUUGAUGGAGAGCUUUGAAAGAGAAAAAAAGCGUGACUUUUGAUGGUCCUCUCUUUGAAAGAGGACGAAGCGGCUUCUUUGAAGUUUGCAGUUGUUCUACACAUUACUUUACUUGGCAAUGAGAGGCAACGAACUUUAUCUGUUUUACCUGAGUUAAUCACCCAGAUUUUAUGUGAUUAGUUGAGAGAUUGAUCUUUAAUCUAGACAAGAAUGCAUUUCUCUAUGUUGGAAAAAAAGGAGAUUUCGAUCCUAUACUUGAAUAUACUGAUUAAACUGAAGCUACUAAUGUUUUAACAUUUGUUUUUAAUAGAAGAAGAUGAAUGAACACAGGUUAGGACCAUGGAUUGAUUUAGCAUAAAAUUUAGUGGGACUAAUAUGCAUAUGAUACAGUAGCACAAGUUCACUUAAAAUGUGUUUUGUGAUUGACAUUCAUAAAAAAGGAGAUACUUAUAGCUGUUUUGAGGAUGCCCAUUAAUAAACUUUUGAUUUCACUAUUUAGUGAUAGUCAACUUAAUGUACAAUUGUAUCAGUCAUACAAAUAAGUUAAUCGUAAAUUAAUGAUGUGAAUUUGUAUUUAUGAGAAAAUGGUGGACAUGUAUUUUGUCAUCUUUUGAUGUUGUCUUUGAUAUAGCCUGCUAGGAGAAAUUGAGUCAGGAAUUUUGGCGUUAAUAGCUGACUUUGUGUUCAUAUUGAAUUUGAUUUGAAAGGCACUUUGUUUAAUAAAUUGUCCACUACAUUUUUUCUGCAUUUUUUUUUUGCUAUCUUUUACCAAGAAAUUUCUUAGUUUAGUUAUAAAAGUAACUAAUUCUAGAUAACCAAAUGAAGGGAACAUUUUGAUUAUCAUGCUAGGAUGUGAAUUUUUACUGGAACUUGAAAAAUGAAUGACCUUGUGCUCAUGCAUAUAUGUUCUUAUUUGAAAUUGUCACUUGAUUCAUAAGUUUUUUAAUGUUAGAAAUAGGGAGAGAAGUUGAUAAAAUUGCCUAGUGAAGGUGUGAGUUAUUAGUAUUUUUUUUUCAUAAGCAUCUAUUGUUUAAAUUAAUCUAGGGUUAAUUUCGUUGCAAGCUUAUACUACUAAUAUGCGAGAAUGCUAGAGAAAUGAAAACAAGAUUGCUAAUUAAAUUUUAUGCUGAAUUUACUUAUAUAUAUUUCGUAUCAUUUUUAUCUUUAAAAUAUGUUAUAUUGGUGGUAUCUAAUAAUUUGGAACCAUGACUGCACUCACUACAACAAAAUCUGCUUUUAGCAACUUUCUUUUAUAUAUUUCAUGGUAUUUAUAAACAUCACUAGAAGUUUCCGGCUUAAUGAAAAACUCUGCAAGAAACAAUGCCACUAAGAGCAUUGUUAAAUAUAGCAACAUUUCAGUUGUAGAUGUUGCUAAAUGGUGGAUUUUAUUAUAACUAUGUCGGUGUUUCGAAAAACAUCUUUUUGGUGUUUGCAUGUUGAAAUGGCACACUUCCUUUUUUUCCUUUGGCCAUUUUUAGCUGCGUUUUUGUUUGAAAACACUGGUAAGCUAAUGGAUUUAGUAGUGACAUAUCUAUUAAUUAAAUGCAACUAAGUUUUCGAUGUUAAUGGUGAAUCUUCUUGAGAAAUGUCUCUAAAUCUCGUUUUGUAGUGGUUUUUCAAUUCAAAAGACAUAGUUAAUUCGCAGGAAACAUUUCAACACUUUUGUUCAUUUUAAAUUAUUUUUGUAGGGUUUCUUAGAAUUUAGUGUUUCUAGCAUUUCAUUUACAAUUAGUAAUACUUGAAAUAAUAUUAGAACACAAUUAAAAUAUAUAAAAUUUGGUAAAAAGACUUCUCUGGUCCAUCUCAAUUUUGGUAUUGAGCAUAUUGAUUCACUUCAAAAAAUCUAAGCAAUUUACUCCCUCUUAAUUUCGAAAGUGAGCAACCAAGUACUAGUAAUCAUGGUGUUUACACAUUCUUUUGUUAAUUUAUUCUACUUUUGAUUGGUAUUAAUAGCUUUCAAUGUUUACGCAUUCUUUCACUUUUUUUCCUAAUUCUAAAAAUUCAACAAAUUUAGCCUUCCAGAUUUAUACAUUCUAUCAAUUUGAUCUUCAUUUUAGAAUUGUUGAUAUCCAAUGAGAGCUAAAUUUGUUGAAAUUAUUUUAGAAUUAGAACAAAAAUGACAAAAUUUGUAAACAUUGAAGGCUAAGAUUGUUAUUAUACCAAUCAAAACUAGGAUAAAUUGAUGAAAAUGUAAGUGUUAUGAUUAAUUAUCCUUAGUUGAUCAAUUUGAAAUUGGCAAGGACUAAAUUGCUCCUUUUUUUUAGAGGAAUCAAUUGCUCAGUAUCAAAAUUGAGGUGAGCGGGGAGGUCUUUUUACCUAUAAAGUUUAAAUUUUAUUACAAAUUCUAUUUAUAAAAAGGAGAUUUUGUCAACUCUUAGUUGAAAGUACCUAUGAUCAUGAAAAUUUGAAGUUACGACUGAAGCUUGUGGUUGAAGUUAUUGAUAUCUUCUUCUGCCUUCUCUUUGUGCUUGAAUUUUGGCUGCCUUUGCUUGUAUAUUUUUCAUAUCUUCUCUCAAUUGAACAUCUUCUUGAGUAUAAGACUGUUGUGAAGAAAUAUACUGCUGAAAACUUCUUUCAAAGUAGCUAGAGGGAGUAGUACUUAAUAUAAUACCUUGAACUUAUCCAUUCCUUUUUAAUCUAGUAACUUUAGGCUUUGCUUGGUAGAGUAAAAUGAAAAUUGGGAAGAUGGAAAAAUGGAAAGUAAUUUUCUUCCCUACCAAGCACACUCAAAAUUUUUUUUCUUUCAAGUUUUCCCACUUCCUCCUAUCUCUCCACUUUUCCACCUAACCAAGCACACCUUUAGUGAACACUUUGUGUUUAGUUUCUCACAUAGUGUGUAAUCUCUCAUCCAGAGCAAUAGAUGUCGAAAAAGACAUACUUGAGUUAUAAUUAUAACAUAUUUCUUCAUUGACAGUUCUUGCAAAGCUUUUUGAACUUUUUGUGUGAAUAUAUUUUUGUUGCUUUUUGAACUAUUUGAGUGAAUAUAUUUUUGUUGUUUUUACUAGAAAUCUUAAGGGUUCUUUUUCCUAAUUCAUAUGUUAUGAAGUUAUUCGGGAAAAUUUUGGAAAGUUCAUAACCAAAUGAUUAUAUUUUAACUGCAACAAAGAUUUUUUUUUCCAGAAAUUCCACAUUCAUUUGUUAUGAAGUCAUUUGGGGAAAAAUUGGAAAGCUUAUAAGCAUGUCUUGAAGUAUUUUGAUCAGAAUAUCAAUCAUUUGGUCACAAGACCUAAUUUACCACGUGGUGUGGUUUAGUGGUAGUACAUUUUUUUAAUUUAUUGUUGGUAUUUAAAGAAAGUAGAGGUAAAGAAAUCAAUUAAUUUAAAUUAAUUUUGGAUUACUAAUAAAAUAAUUUUAUAUAACAUAUAAAUGCUUUUAAAGAAUUUACAAGAACGAUAUGAGAUUUCUAGUAGAAGAAAACAAAUGUAUAUUCACAGAAGUGGUUUGAAAAGCUUUGCUAGAAUUGCCAAUGAAAAGUAGGUUUGAAAAGCUUUGCUAGAAUUGCCAAUGAAAAGUAUAUAUUUUCCUUGUAAGAUUGUAUUGAUAAAUAUGCUUAUAUUAAUUUAUAUUAUUUUGUAAGAAAUUGAGAAAGGUGAAAAAAAUUCAAAGGCUUGAGCUUUUUCAAGUUACUCAUACCAAGAAGGAUCUUUUUUAAACGAAGAGACACAAUAGAUUGUAAUAUGAGUUCUUCAUAACUAUUUAUAACUUUUAUUUAAUAAAUUAAUUUUGUGUUUUAUACCUUACUGUUAUUUUCUUGAUUUGUAGGAGAAAGCAAAAUAAAAAAUUGUCAAAAGUAAUUAAUUCUAAGCUGUACUCUUUUUACAACAAAAAUCUACACAAAAAGUUGUUCAAUUGGGAUAGAGAAAAAUACAUGAAAAGUUGUCAUAGUAAGUAGUUCUCAGUGGUAUAUUUAUAGAACUCUUAUCGGUAGCAUUUUUCUUUUAAGCUGCUAAACUUUCAGCGGCAUUUGUAAACACUGUGAUAUCUGUAUAUAUAGGCUAAAACCAGGUUUUGCUGUAGUGUUUAUGUUGGAUUCAAACCAUAAAUGUUAUUUCUGUGGUCUCUCCUUGUGCAUUGGAAUGAAAAGAAUCCCAGUUGUCCCUGCAUAUUUGCCAAUAAUUUAUAUUUUUGUCGGCUUCAAAUCAUUUACUAAUUGUAAUUUCCAGUCUCUCCUCUCAACAAGUUACACUAGAUUCAAAUAAUUGAAACAUGACUUAUAUGGAAGAGCUUAGGAAAUCUAUAAAAAUCUGUUGUAGACGUCUAGAAGAGAAAAGUGGGAUUCAAAAUGGCUAGGCUUUGAAGAAGGGUUAAGAAUGGAAUAUGGUAGAAAAUCAUAUAUUACUUGAGAGGAGAUCUACAAGCUCAACUCUCAAAUGAAAUUUUAGUGAAUCCAGAUUCUUUUAAGAGAAUUUUUUCCUUUAGAUGUUUUUAAUCUGUCAGAGUGAUUGGCAUUAAGAUGAAUUUUCCUUUAUUCAUAUAUCUUACAUGUAUAAAAAUGUUGGCUGUUCUUUGCUUUCAUGCUUCCAUACCUAUUAAUUUUUAUAUUAUGGUAAACAAGGGGGUAAGGACAAAUGGAAAAUCCAUGUACUCAAUGUUGUCAAGAUUAUGCCAAGGCACUGUUAGGCAUUGCACCUUAGGGCCAAACAACAAAUUUGCUUUGAAUCCCUUCAAGAAACGCACAUGUUAUGAAGUGUAUGAUUAGCGUAUUUAAAUGCACUUUUCUGCAAGGCUAUAGGUAAAAAAGGGUCCUCUUGGUUGAAAUUCUGCUUAAUUUCUUUUAUUUUUAUCUUUUCCAUUAGUUUUACUUAUUUGAGUAUUCAAUACAGACAUGGGAUCAUAAGAAAAUUGUGCAUAUAGGCUAAUAAAAGAAACCAAAAUUUCGCAUGUUUUGUAGAUACUGGUUACUGGAUCUCUCUGUAGAUUUAUUAUCAUAAUUCUUAUAACCUUAAAUUUCAUACAAUGCACAUACCCACACAACGUGUUGUGCCAUAUUUGACUCAGGCAGGUGCAUUUUUUGCUCCUUAUACCUUAAGUCUUGCAGCUAGAGUGUGCCUUGUGCCCUUGAGAAAAAUGUAUCUAAUGAUCUAGAGGCCGAAGAAAGAAAUGGAAGACUCGGCAUAAAUAAGUUUUUAAACAGUGAAAACUUGAAAGGGAGUAUCAUGUGUAUGUUUGUACAAUCACCUUUGCUUAUUUUGAUACAACUCGCAUGUUCAAGUCACCUGUGGCAGUUUUCUUUCUCAAAGUAGUAUCUCAUGAAGAGGUACAGCUUAUUGUCAUUAACUACAGUUUUUAAGUGUCAUAAAAAGUCGAACUUAACUCUUUUGAUUCAGAAGUAGAAUUUAUAUGAUGGCCAAUGCUAUUUUGCAAUAUCGUACAUAAGGUUCUUAUGUUUCUGGGGAAAUGUGGUGCUUUCAAGCUUUUCAAAACAAGACAAUGACUGUGAUACUAGACAAGUACGAGUUUACUGGUAAAACAGCUUGAAUUAUAUACAGCCUUGGUAAAGAUGCUUUCUGAUCUCAUUAUGAUUGGUGAAAACCUUUUAUUUGCUAAAAACAUCUUGAACAUACCUUAUAAUCAAAAUAUGCAGAAUUCAGGUUUAUUUUAACACUUUAACUUCCAUAGGAUUAGAAGCACAAGACUGUUCUCCUAAUGUUCAAUACAGAGUGCUACAAGUUCUAUUGUUCUCUUUGAUUGCAAAAAAGCAAGUAAAAGAGGCCAGAAAGAUGAAAAUAGUAUUUGGAAUCAUAUCUUGGUUAUGGUUUUGCUAAAGGGCAUUUGUAGUGGAGCGGUUUUGGAGAAUUUUAUUGUUGCUGAAGUUUACAGGACAAAUUUUCAGUGAUAUUAAAAGAUAGGGCAAUUGUGGACGUGGUGCUCCAUAAAUUCAGUACUAUGCCUAGAGCAUUUCACCUAGGGUUGGAAUGAGCUGGAUACAAGUAUACUCAAAUUUUUAAUUUGUUUUCAUAUGCGUGAAGGAUUUUUACUCUCAGACUUCUAAUAUGUAUCAAAGUCAGGUAACCGCCAUCCAUGUAUGCAUGACAGAAAAUUACUUAUCUUUGUGGUUUUCAGGUUUAAAUUACUUCUCUCUACUGUGCAAGUAUUCUAGUGGACAUUGUAAUGCCUGUUUCCAUGUAGUUAUUUUGAAGCUGGAACAAAGGACAUUUCAUUUUUUCAUUGGAAAAGCUCAAUUAAGGACCGACCAUUUCUAUCAGUAUGUACAUUCCAAAGAAAAGAUUUCGAUUUUUGGAUUAACAUUCAAGGGUAUUAACGUGGCUGUUAAAGCACAUGCUUGCUGUUUUACAUGCUCGUCGCUAACCAGGACAUCAAAGGUGCUGAAACCUUUUUAACAUCACUGCUACAGCCACAACAUGAGUGAUUGAUCCAACCCUCCUCGGUGUUUCACAAUUUUAGAAAAUAAAGUGUGUCAGGUGUAAUAAUUUGGAAAGAAUUUUUGUUUGAAUUUUAAAUUAAUAUUAUUGAAAAAGAAGAAUUUGAAUUUUGAAA